rnacentral:sRNA from 1 species
AUGCUUCUUAUUUACACAGAUUUUUGAAGUGAUAAAAAUGUGUCUGUAUCACUCACAGCCAUGCUUAUUGUAGGUUUGUUUAUUUUAAUAUAAAUCAUGUACAUGUAACUGAAUGUCCAUAUUUAGAUUUGAAGGUGUUUAAGCUAUGAUACAUGUAACUUAGAGACAUAAACCUCAUACAUGUCGUCUUGAUUAAAUGAAUAGUUGAAUUGACCGACUUCCAUAAGCUUGGGAUGAUGAUAAUUAUGAUACGUGUCUAAUUAUGAGAACUGUAAGAUUAUAUCGUCUCAUAUAAAUAACUGAUGCGCAGACUUAGAAUUUUAUUUUAUUUUAGGAGGGGGGUCCAGUCACCUCACCACCCUUGAAAAUUCAAACUUUUUUAAAUUCAAGUAGUAAACCUACUGAAAAUAGAACUCGACCUACCCCCCCCCCCCCCCACCCCUCCCCGGCAAACAAAAUUAUAAAUUAUCCCUUAGUACAUUAACCUCCCCUCCAUUUCUUGAUCUGAACAUAUAAACAUUGGAGCGAAAUGUCAUGGUGCGAAACAUCCCACAUUUAGCUAGCUACGUUGGUUUUUUCGGGGAGCAGCCAUUGUAGCGCGCACACUGCCGCCUGGCGUCAUAAUGCAGCAUUAAAUUCAUGCAACUUGUAUUCGUCUUUAUUGAAAGUGCUUUAUGGUUUGCGUGUUUGAAUUCACGUUUGUAACAGAGAUAGAAGAAAGAAUCUACACGAAUAAGAAGAGAGUGUUGCAACAUAGAAUUAAGCAAACAAUGAAGGAUCAAAGAGAAUCAAAGUGAAAUUGGAUAAGCAUGAAUAUGAAAACAAUAAAGUGACAUGCAAAUGUAAAUGUAAUGAAGAAUAAAGAAGUAAGCAUAAUAAGAAUAAAAGCAAGAUACAUAGAAUUUUGGCGGUAAUUCCCUUCCAUAUAAUUUGUUGACCAUAUAACUUCAUUAAUAAACAAAAAUACUGAAUAGUAAUAAGACUGUAAACAAAAAUUAUAUUUGAAUAAGAUCAAUCCAGCUAAUGUUAAAGAACGUGAACCAGAUUCCAUACUUAGAUUCCUUUCAUUGCAGCAUAUAAAGCUAUUCACCAGGAACGGAAGUUGUAGACACAUUAUCUUUAAAUUCAAAGAGAAUUAUGACUUCUGAAAUCGGCACAGUAUCAAUGGCGGACUUUGACGGAGAUGUUGUUCGCUGUCGCUUUGCAUCAGGAUCAGAUGAAUGUGCCUCUGUUUGUAGCGACCAUUCAUCUUAUAUGACAUUAGAAAAUACGAAAUGUAGAUUUUCUAUCAACGCCGCCUUGCCUUCUGGAAAUUACGCCGUGGCUCUACAGAUUGAGGAUUUUACAGACUCGUCAUCCACUGUUCCACUUAGCAGCGUUCCUUUACAGUUUAUUUUUACUGUUGGGGGCAGCAGUUCCUCGUGUUCUUUACAUAGUUAUUUUGUUUUACCUACUCCUUCCCAUGGAGAUACAUUACAAUCUCAAAAUGGAUCGUUACAGUUUUUUGCACGAGUUCGAGUGCAUUUUCAUUCUGGUAUAGUGACGAAAUUCCAUGUUAUGUCACCUCUUACAUUUACAAUAUCAGCCAUCACACAACCUGUGGAACAAGCAGCCGAUUAUCAGGUUACCAUGUCACUAGAGUCUGAUGCCAAUAAUGUCAUUGGAUCCCAUGUAGUAUGCUUUUCAUCAGAGAUAUCUGCAAGAAACUCCUCACCAACGAGAUGUAUUACAGUGAAUAUUACAGAUACUGAUGACUGCCGAGCAGAACCCUGUCAAAACAACGGAACUUGUACAGACCUGUUCAACGACUACCAAUGUGAUUGUGUUGCAGGAUUCAAUGGAACAAAUUGUGAAAACAAUAUUGACGAGUGUUCCCAAGGUCCUUGUCAAAACAACGGAACCUGUACAGACCUGGUCAACGACUACCACUGUGGUUGUGUUGCAGGAUUCAAUGAAACAAAUUGUGAAAAUAAUAUCGAUGAGUGUGCUUCUCAACCUUGUCAGAACAAUGGAACUUGUAUUGAUCUAAUCAAUGAUUACCAAUGUAACUGUACAGACGGUUUUAAUGGAACAAACUGUGAAAAUGGUCCAGAUAUCGAUGACUGCCUACCAAAUCCUUGUCAAAACAAUGGAACCUGUACAGACCUGGUCAACAACUACCAAUGUAGUUGUGUUGCAGGAUUCAAUGGAACAAAUUGUGAAAACAAUAUGGAUGAGUGUACACCUCAACCUUGUCAGAACAACGGAACUUGUACAGAUCUGAUCAAUGGUUACCAAUGUAACUGUACAGACGGGUUUAAUGGAACAGACUGUGAAAAUGAUAUCAAUGACUGCCUACCAAAUCCUUGUCAAAACAAUGGAACAUGUACGGAUCUUGUCAACGACUACCAAUGUGGUUGUCUUUCAGGAUUCAAUGGAACAAAUUGUGAAAACAAUAUGGACGACUGUGCAUCUCAACCUUGUAAGAACAACGGAACUUGUAUUGAUCUGAUCAAUGAUUACCAAUGUUAUUGCAUUGACGGCUUUAAUAGAACAAACUGCGCAAUGGAUAUCGAUGACUGCAAUCCAGAGCCUUGUCAAAACAAUGGAACCUGUACAGACCUGGUCAACGACUACCAAUGUAGUUGUGUUGCAGGAUUCAACGGAACAAAUUGUGAAAACAAUAUGGAUGAGUGUACACCUCAACCUUGUCAGAACAACGGAACUUGUACAGAUUUGAUCAAUGGUUACCAAUGUAACUGUACAGACGGGUUUAAUGGAACAGACUGUGAAAAUGAUAUUAAUGACUGCCUACCUAAUCCUUGUCAAAACAAUGGAACAUGUACGGAUCUUGUCAACAACUACCAAUGUGGUUGUCUUCCAGGAUUCAAUGGAACAAAUUGUGAAAACAAUAUGGACGAGUGUGCAUCUCAUCCUUGUGAGAACAACGGAACUUGUAUUGAUCUGAUCAAUGAUUACCAAUGUAAUUGCUUUGACGGCUUUAAUGGAACAAACUGUGCAAUUGAUAUCGAUGACUGCAAUCCAGAGCCUUGUCAAAACAACGGAACCUGUACAGACCUGGUCAACGACUUCCAAUGUAGUUGUGUUGCAGGAUUCAAUGGAACAAAUUGUGAAAACAAUAUGGAUGAGUGUACACCUCAACCUUGUCAGAACAACGGAACAUGUACAGAUCUGAUCGAUGGUUACCAAUGUAAUUGUACAGACGGGUUUAAUGGAACAAGCUGUGAAAAUGAUAUCAAUGACUGUCAAGCAGAACCUUGUCAAAACAAUGGAACUUGUACAGACCUGGUUAACGACUACCAAUGUGAUUGUGUUGCAGGAUUCAAUGGAACAAAUUGUGAUAACAAUGUGGAUGAGUGUGCAUCUCAACCUUGUCAGAACAGUGGAACUUGUAUUGAUCUGAUUAAUGGAUACCAAUGUGACUGUACAGAUGGAUUUAAUGGAACAGACUGUGAAUUUGACGUUAUACUUUGUGCUCCCUCCCCGUGUAAGAACAACGGAACCUGUAUUGAGUUGAUUAAUAGAUUUCAGUGUCAGUGUCCCGUGGAAUUCAAUGGAACUACCUGCUCCACAGAAUCAUAUUUAACGAAAUUCACAAUGGAAUUAAAAAUAGACGUAACAAUAUCAGAAGAUUUGUCUUCAAGCACUGAUUACAACACCGUUAAAAGUAAAGUACAUAUUGCCUUAACAGAAAUGUAUUCCACGAUACCAGGAUCUACAGUGAUCAUACACAGUCUACGGAAGGGAAGUCUUAUUGUUGACUUUGAUCUCAUUAUUCCGGAUGAUCCUGUAUACAAGGUUCAGGUCGUGGACACUGUUUAUAAGCUUGUGAACGGUCUAGCCUUUGUCAACUACUCCGGCGAGGUCGUCAACGUAACAUCAGCAUCAUUCAAUUCGUCUGCUGGCACCGUUAUUAUCACCAAUUCCACUGACGGAUGUUCCAUUAUGAAUUCCCAGAGCGUGUGUUCCCCUGGAUACAGGUGUCAUGAGUUUAACAACUACACAGUGGCCUGCAUGUAAGAACCUCUUUUAUCUUUUGAUAAGAUAAGAAUGUUUUACUGUGGGUUUAUAAACUGUAA